rnacentral:rRNA from 1 species
UACGUAGGUGGCAAGCGUUGUCCGGAUUUACUGGGCGUAAAGAGCGCGCAGGCGGUCGUCCAAGUCGCGUGUGAAAGCCCCCGGCUCAACUGGGGAGGGUCACGCGAUACUGGUCGACUCGAAGGCAGGAGAGGGUAGUGGAAUUCCCGGUGUAGUGGUGAAAUGCGUAGAUAUCGGGAGGAACACCAGUGGCGAAGGCGGCUUUCUGGUCUGCUCCUGACGCUGAGGUGCGAAAGCGUGGGGAGCGAACAGG